GGAGGGGGGCGAGCGUUAUUCGGAAUUAUUGGGCGUAAAGGGCAGGUAGGCGGCUUUGUAUGUCCUCUGUGAAAGCCCUCGGGCUCAACCGAGGAAUUGCAUGGGAAACUGCGAAGCUUGAGUCCGGGAGAGGGUAGCGGAAUUCCCAGUGUAGCGGUGAAAUGCGUAGAUAUUGGGAGGAACACCAGUGGCGAAGGCGGCUACCUGGACCGGUACUGACGCUAAGCUGCGAAAGCUAGGGGAGCGAACGGGAUUAGAUACCCCGGUAGUCCUGGCUGUAAACGAUGAGCACUUGGUGUGGCGGGUAUCGACCCCUGCCGUGCCGAAGCUAACGCAUUAAGUGCUCCGCCUGGGGAGUACGGUCGCAAAGGCUG
rnacentral:rRNA from 1 species